CUCCCUUCUUUGUAUUCCAAUUCAGUUUGUUGGUUCAGCAAAUCCUUACCAUUAAUCUUUUACCCAAUUGUUAACCUUUUUUUUUCCAUGUCUCUUAAAGCAUUACAGCUAAAAACCUCUUAAUUUCUAUCCAGCAUCCUUCUAAAGUUCCUUAAUUUUACAAUAUUUCUGUAAAUAGUCCUUAAAUUUUUUCCAGUCUUCUUUCACCGACUCUUCUCCCUGGUCUCGGAUUCUGCCAGUCA